rnacentral:lncRNA from 1 species
AAGACAUCUAUGUUCAAGGAGCCUUCAGCCUUCAGGGGAGACACGUCAUUUCCAUCCAGGAGCGGGGGGGUUGUGGUUUUGGAUUCAUUGGAGACAGUUCUGGCUAGAAAGAAAAGGUUGUAUUGUGGAAAGUUUGAACAUCCGCCAGAAGGGUUUGGGCAUUUUCCCUGAGCACAGUGGGGCCAUAAUCAGUUUAAGAAAGGGGAAGAGAGGCAGUGGAAUUAAGUUGUAGAAAAAUUAUUUUCAGGGUGUCAGACUGGAUCGAGGAGGGAGAAAUGGAAAUAUCUGAAUUAAGAUAGGUGGUGAAGGGAGAAGACUUGGGCUUCAGCCUAGUUACGGGAAGAGCACAUAGAGGAACAGGGUGCCAGGAUAGUUGGUCUGGCAGUACUUAUGCAAGUAUAGUAUUGACACGUUUAAAAACCCAUUUGAUCAUUGCAACAAUCCCCUGGACCAGGCAGGAAUGCGAUUUGAACCCUACAUGGAUGCAGCUGCUUAGGAAAUUGGAAAAGUGCGAGUUACAUGCUCAUGAAGGUGGAGAAGCUGGUUUGACGGUAGGGAGCAUCUGGAGUCAGGAGGGAGGUGGGUGAGACGAAGUCUAGACACGAUUGUCGCCCACUGAACACGCAUUGGCUCAAGAAGGGGAUUUAGAGACAGGAGAGUGGAAGCUAAGAAACUCUUUCUUGGAGCAGACACAGACUCCAGGAAGGGAGAGAAUUGUGUCAAGUGUGAGAAAGGUCUUAUUGGUGGCAAAAAGGUCAUAGUGAACUUUUGUGAGAGGGGUAAAAAUAGUUCUAGUUUGGAAAGCACUAAGUCAGAUGGGAUGGUGAGGGAUUUCAAAGUCAGUGGGUGGGCAAUGAUGAUAAAGAGGCUGUGAUUUAAACCGAGUUUAGUAAGA